UUCGGGGGUACUCGAGCGGCGAACGGGUGAGUAACACGUGAGUAAUCUGCCCUGCGCUCUGGGGUAGCCACCGGAAACGGUGAUUAAUACCGGAUAGGACCACUUCACGCAUGUGAUGGUGGUGGAAAGUUUUUUCGGCGCAGGAUGUGCUCGCGGCCUAUCAGCUUGUUGGUGAGGUAACGGCUCACCAAGGCUUUGACGGGUAACCGGCCUGAGAGGGUGACCGGUCACACUGGGACUGAGACACGGCCCAGACUCCUACGGGAGGCAGCAGUGGGGAAUAUUGGACAAUGGGCGGAAGCCUGAUCCAGCAACGCCGCGUGAGGGAUGACGGCCUUCGGGUUGUAAACCUCUUUCAGUACCGACGAAGCGAAAGUGACGGUAGGUACAGAAGAAGGACCGGCCAACUACGUGCCAGCAGCCGCGGUAAUACGUAGGGUCCGAGCGUUGUCCGGAAUUAUUGGGCGUAAAGGGCUCGUAGGCGGUUUGUCGCGUCGGGAGUGAAAACACCGGGCUCAACUCGGUGCUUGCUUUCGAUACGGGCAGACUAGAGGUAUGCAGGGGAGAAUGGAAUUCCUGGUGUAGCGGUGAAAUGCGCAGAUAUCAGGAGGAACACCGGUGGCGAAGGCGGUUCUCUGGGCAUUACCUGACGCUGAGGAGCGAAAGUGUGGGGAGCGAACAGGAUUAGAUACCCUGGUAGUCCACACCGUAAACGUUGGGCGCUAGGUGUGGGGCCUAUUCCAUGGGUUCCGUGCCGUAGCUAACGCAUUAAGCGCCCCGCC
rnacentral:rRNA from 1 species